rnacentral:rRNA from 1 species
GACGAACGCUGGCGGCGUGCCUAACACAUGCAAGUCGAGCGAAUGAAAUUCCUUCGGGAAUGGAUUUAGCGGCGGACGGGUGAGUAACACGUGGGCAACCUGCCUCAUAGAGGGGAAUAGCCUUCCGAAAGGGAGAUUAAUACCGCAUAAGAUUGUAGUACCGCAUGGUACAGCAAUUAAAGGAGCAAUCCGCUAUGAGAUGGGCCCGCGGCGCAUUAGCUAGUUGGUGAGGUAACGGCUCACCAAGGCGACGAUGCGUAGCCGACCUGAGAGGGUGAUCGGCCACAUUGGGACUGAGACACGGCCCAGACUCCUACGGGAGGCAGCAGUGGGGAAUAUUGCAUAAUGGGGGAAACCCUGAUGCAGCAACGCCGCGUGAGUGAUGACGGCCUUCGGGUUGUAAAGCUCUGUCUUCAGGGACGAUAAUGACGGUACCUGAGGAGGAAGCCACGGCUAACUACGUGCCAGCAGCCGCCGCGGUAA